rnacentral:misc_RNA from 1 species
GAUGAAGAACGUAGCGAAAUGCGAUACGUAAUGUGAAUUGCAGAAUUCAGUGAAUCAUCGAGUCUUUGAACGCACAUUGCGCCCUCUGGUAUUCCGGAGGGCAUGCCUGUCCGAGCGUCAUUGCUGCCCUCAAGCACGGCUUGUGUGUUGGGCUCCGUCCCCCGAUCCCGGGGGACGGGCCCGAAAGGCAGCGGCGGCACCGCGUCCGGUCCUCGAGCGUAUGGGGCUUUGUCACCCGCUCUGUAGGCCCGGCCGGCGCUUGCCGAUCAACCAAAUUUUUAUCCAGGUUGACCUCGGAUCAGGUAGGGAUACCCGCUGAACUUAAGAAUAUCAAUAAGCGGAGGA